ensembl:snRNA U6 U6 spliceosomal RNA
GCCACUUCACUGGUGCAUAUACUAAAUUUGAAAUGAAACAGAGACUUUUAUCAAUGCCCCUGCAUCAAGAUGACACACACAUUGGUGAACUGUUUAUCUUUUCA